rnacentral:rRNA from 1 species
AGUGAACGCUGGCGGUAGGCCUAACACAUGCAGGUCGAACGGCAGCACCGUAAUAGCUUGCUCUUACGGGUGGCGAGUGGCGGACGGGUGAGGAAUACAUCGGAAUCUACUUUUUCGUGGGGGUUCACGUAGGGAGACUUACGCUAAUACCGCAUACGCCCUACCGGUGAAAGCAUUGGAUCUUCUGACCUUUCGCGAUUGGAUGAGCCGAUUUGGGAUUAGCUAGUUGGCGGGGUAAAGGCCCACCAAGUGGGCGGUCGGUAGCUCGUGAGAGUGGAUGGUCGGCCGCACUGGAACGGGGACACGGUCCAGAGGCCUACGGGAGGGAGCAGUGGGGAAUAUGGGACAAUGGGGGCAAGCCUGAUACAGCGAUACCGAGUGGGUGAAGAAGGCCUUCGGGUUGGAAAGCCCGUUUGUGGGGAAAGAAAAGCAGCAGGUUGAUACGAAGCUGUUCUGACGGUACCCAAAGAAUAAGCACCGGCUAACUUCGUG